AUUGAACGCUGGCGGCAGGCCUAAUACAUGCAAGUCGAACGAGUGGCGGACGGGUGAGUAAUGUCUGGGAAACUGCCUGAUGGAGGGGGAUAACUACUGGAAACGGUAGCUAAUACAGCAUACCAUCGGAUGUGCCCAGAUGGGAUUAGCUAGUAGGUGGGGUAAAGGCUCACAAAGGCGACGAUCCCUAGCUGGUCUGAUAGGAUGACCGGCCACACUGGAACUGAGUCCCGGUCCAGAAUCCGACGUGAGGCAGGAGUGGGGAAUAUUGCACUAUGGGCGCAAGCCUGAUGCAGCCAUGCCGCGUGUAUGAAGAAGGCCUUCGGUUUGUAAAGUACUGUCAGCGGGGAGGCGUUACCCGCAGAAGAAGCGCCGGCUAACUCCGUGCCAGCAGCCGCGGUAAUUC
rnacentral:rRNA from 1 species